UUUAGGGGUUUGAGACACUGAAUUUCAGUAUUGGGAGACUGGAGCUUAAAAUAGUGAACCUUUUCCACAAGCAUUUUAUAACUACUCUGACCUUACUGUGUCCCAGGCAUGGUGUUAGAUAGUGGAGAUGUAAACUAUGGUUAACUCGGAACUUACAGAUAGAACUUACUUUAUAGUUGUAAUUAAUAUUAUUUUUCCCCUCUUAUUAGUGUUCUUAUAUACAUGCAUGUCUGUGUAUAUAAUUUUGUUUAAGCAGAGAUUGUGUCUUCUAUUUCCUAGUUUCUUAAUCAUUCUAUUUAAGGGCUCAUGUCUAUCUAUUCACAUAGAAAAUAAAACCUAAGCAAAUGACAAUUAUCUUUUUUAUACAUUUCUGGAACGAUUUUAAACGAGCUCUUGAACUGAUGCUUAAAAAAUAGUGUUCAUGGACUCCAGUUACUGUGGAGAUGAUCAUGGGUCAGAAUGACCUAUUCCUGUGACUUGGAAAGGUAGAUACUGCUGAAAUUUCAUGACAUUGAGCUAUUGACUUGGCAACCUGUAAGGCUGAUGAUACACUCAAUUACUAUCAUACAACUGGAUAGAUCAUUAGACACAGAACUCAUUUCCCUGCUGUGUAUAUGGACUUUUGGGGACAUGCUUCUGGAUGCAGCUUGUCCAAAAACCACUAACUGGAUUGUAUUUUAUCACUU
rnacentral:lncRNA from 1 species